rnacentral:rRNA from 1 species
UACGGAGGGAGCUAGCGUUGUUCGGAAUUACUGGGCGUAAAGCGCGCGUAGGCGGCUUUGUAAGUUAGAGGUGAAAGCCCGGGACUCAACCCCGGAACUGCCUUUAAGACUGCAUCGCUGGAAUCCGGGAGAGGUGAGUGGAAUUCCGAGUGUAGAGGUGAAAUUCGUAGAUAUUCGGAAGAACACCAGUGGCGAAGGCGGGUCACUGGUCCAUUACUGACGCUGAGGUGCGAAAGCGUGGGGAGCAAACAGG